CCUACGGGAGGCAGCAGUGAGGAAUAUUGCACAAUGGGGGAAACCCUGAUGCAGCGACGCCGCGUGAGUGAAGAAGCGUUUCGGCGCUUAAAGCUCUUUCAACGGGGAAGAAACACGGUUCGCGAGAGCCGCGGACGGUACCCGGCCAAGAAGCCCCGGCUAACUACGGGCCAGCAGCCGCGGUAAUACGUAGGGGGCAAGCGUUAUCCGGAUUCACUGGGUGUAAAGGGAGCGUAGACGGCGAGCCAAAUCUGGAGUGAAAGGCCGGGGCCCAACCCCGGCAAUGCACUGGAAACUGGCUGGCUGGAGUACAGGAGAGGCAAGUGGAAUUCGUAGUGUAGCGGUGAAAUGCGUAGAUAUUAGGAGGAACACCAGUGGCGAAGGCGGCUUACUGGAGUGUAACUGACGCUGAGGCUCGAAAGCGUGGGGAGCAAACAGGAUUAGAUACCCGGGUAGUC
rnacentral:rRNA from 1 species